rnacentral:lncRNA from 1 species
UUGAUUACACUGGAGUCAGGAGCUGCGUGUGGUCCAAAGAACGGCAGCCAAAGGAAGUUAUGUUCAUCUGGCACCAACAUGGUGAAGGGGUCUGCUGGGGAGGAGGGGGUGGCCACUUUGUUUCCUCUUUCCUUUGGUGGAGGAGGGCAACUUUCCCUCUGCCAGUAGGGUCCUUUAGUGGUGAUCGAUGGCGAGUCAAUCACCUGGCAAGAUAUUAAUCAAAUUUAAACCUGCUCUUUAGCAAUCUCUUCAGCUUGUGCCUCCUAUAGAACAAACUGCUUUAACAAAAUAGGGCAGGAUUAUCGAAUCUUGGGAAUGGGAAGAGGUUCAGGGGUCAUAAAAUCUGGUAGUUACCAAAUACAGUUUUGUAGCAGGAGAAAAAUCAGACACUGGUUAGUUUAUCUAAAUGUAUUCAAUGUAAAGACCUAGUCUUACUCUAAGAUUUUCUUUGUCUUCCUAUUUUUCUAGUGAUAUAUGGUAUUUGUAGUUCAUAUAUAUAUAUGUGUGUGUGUGUAUAUAUAUAUAUUUGUUGUUGUUGUUGUUGUUGUUUAGAUUUGCCUUUUAUUUUGUCAGAUGGAGUCCAACAUUUUGAAUUAGAAAUAUGGAUGCCCCACCAGCAGUUCUCAAUGGGGGGCUGGCCAUUCAAAUCCCUUGCAGCAUAUUUAGAAAUGAUUCCCUAGGGACACCUGGGGUGGCUUAGCGGUUUACCGCCUGCCUGCCUUCCGCCCAGGGUGUGAUCCUGGAGUCCUGGGAUCGAGACCCACAUCAGGCUUCCUACAGGGAGCCUGCUUCUCCUCUGCCUGUUUCUGCCUCUCUCUCUCUCUCUCUCUCUCUCUCAUGAAUAAAUAAAUAAAAUCUUUAAAAAAAAAAAAAAAAGAAAUGAUUCCCUAGAUACACUACCUGGGACUCUGACUCAGGUGGGGAGGGGAGGUUGGGAGUUUUAAAGACUACUCAGUUGACAGUAACAGGGGACCUGCGGAGAAGCUCUUCAAAGGCAGCAGAGUUCACUGGCUGCGUUAAUAGUACCUGUCAGUCAGGAUCACCAGGAGACUUAGUGUUAAUAAACAAACAAAAAAGAUUUCUCAGGAGCAAGAUUAAUUAAUUCAGUAAUUCUGGGACUGGGCCCCAAACUCUUCAUCUCAACAAGUGACUAAUUUGAUUCUGAUGUGGAGGCCACAGAUUACAUGUGUUGAAACACUGUCAGGAGUGUGUUAGAGUCGUGCUGGGCACUCCGACAUGCAAAAGUCGGAACCCAGGGUAAGAGGUGAAGCUUCUGAACCCCAGUUUCCUAGUCUGAGAAGUGAGGAUAAAUUGGGAUCCAUCUUGCAAAGUUUCUGUGAGAUUAAAUGAGAUGUUACACAGGUGU